rnacentral:rRNA from 1 species
UACGUAGGGUGCGAGCGUUGUCCGGAAUUAUUGGGCGUAAAGAGCUCGUAGGCGGCCUGUCGCGUCGGAUGUGAAAGCCCGGGGCUUAACCCCCGGGUCUGCAUUCGAUACGGGCAGACUGGAGUGUGGUAGGGGAGAUCGAAUUCCUGGUGUAGCGGUGAAAUGCGCAGAUAUCAGGAGGAACACCGGUGGCGAAGGCGGAUCUCUGGGCCAUUACUGACGCUGAGGAGCGAAAGCGUGGGGAGCGAACAGG